rnacentral:rRNA from 1 species
UACGAAGGGGGCUAGCGUUGUUCGGAAUUACUGGGCGUAAAGGGCGCGUAGGCGGCCCCGCGCGUCGAGCGUGAAAGGCCUGGGCUCAACCCAGGAAUGGCGCUCGAUACGGCAGGGCUAGAGUGCAGGAGAGGAUGGUGGAAUUCCCAGUGUAGAGGUGAAAUUCGUAGAUAUUGGGAAGAACACCGGUGGCGAAGGCGGCCAUCUGGACUGCAACUGACGCUGAGGCGCGAAAGCGUGGGGAGCAAACAGG